rnacentral:rRNA from 1 species
GUACAGAGGGUGCGAGCGUUAAUCGGAAUUACUGGGCGUAAAGCGCGCGUAGGCGGCCAACUAAGUCGGAUGUGAAAAUCCCCAGGCUUAACCUGGGAACUGCAUCCGAUACUGGAUGGCUUGAAUCCGGGGAAGAGGGAUGCAGAAUUCCAGGUGAUAGCGGUGAAAUGCGUAGAUAUCAGGAGGAACACCCGGUGGCGAAGGCGGGUCUCUGGGCCGUAACUGACGACUGGAGGAAGCGAAAGCGUGGGGAGCAAACAGG